AGUCGAGCGGUACAGAUCCAGCUUGCUGGAUGCUGACGAGCGGCGGACGGGUGAGUAAUGCAUAGGAAUCUGCCCGAUAGUGGGGGAUAACCUGGGGAAACCCAGGCUAAUACCGCAUACGUCCUACGGGAGAAAGGGGGCUCCGGCUCCCGCUAUGGGAUGAGCCUAUGUCGGAUUAGCUAGUUGGUGAGGUAACGGCUCACCAAGGCCACGAUCCGUAGCUGGUCUGAGAGGAUGAUCAGCCACAUCGGGACUGAGACACGGCCCGAACUCCUACGGGAGGCAGCAGUGGGGAAUAUUGGACAAUGGGGGAAAGCCUGAUCCAGCCAUGCCGCGUGUGUGAAGAAGGCCCUCGGGUUGUAAAGCACUUUCAGCGAGGAAGAACGCCUAGCGGUUAAUACCCGCUAGGAAAGACAUCACUCGCAGAAGAAGCACCGGCUAACUCCGUGCCAGCAGCCGCGGUAAUACGGAGGGUGCAAGCGUUAAUCGGAAUUACUGGGCGUAAAGCGCGCGUAGGUGGCUUGAUAAGCCGGUUGUGAAAGCCCCGGGCUCAACCUGGGAACGGCAUCCGGAACUGUCAAGCUAGAGUGCAGGAGAGGAAGGUAGAAUUCCCGGUGUAGCGGUGAAAUGCGUAGAGAUCGGGAGGAAUACCAGUGGCGAAGGCGGCCUUCUGGACUGACACUGACACUGAGGUGCGAAAGCGUGGGUAGCAACAGGAUUAGAUA
rnacentral:rRNA from 1 species